rnacentral:rRNA from 1 species
GAUGAACGCUAGCUACAGGCUUAACACAUGCAAGUCGAGGGGAAACGGCAUUGAGUGCUUGCACUCUUUGGACGUCGACCGGCGCACGGGUGAGUAACGCGUAUCCAACCUUCCCAUUACUGUGGGAUAACCUGCCGAAAGGCAGACUAAUACCGCAUAGUCUUCGAUGACGGCAUCAGAUUUGAAGUAAAGAUUUAUCGGUAAUGGAUGGGGAUGCGUCUGAUUAGCUUGUUGGCGGGGUAACGGCCCACCAAGGCUACGAUCAGUAGGGGUUCUGAGAGGAAGGUCCCCCACAUUGGAACUGAGACACGGUCCAAACUCCUACGGGAGGCAGCAGUGAGGAAUAUUGGUCAAUGGACGGAAGUCUGAACCAGCCAAGUAGCGUGCAGGAUGACGGCCCUAUGGGUUGUAAACUGCUUUUGUAUGGGGAUAAAGUUAGGGACGUGUCCCUAUUUGCAGGUACCAUACGAAUAAGGACCGGCUAAUUCCGUGCCAGCAGCCGCGGUAAUACGGAAGGUCCAGGCGUUAUCCGGAUUUAUUGGGUUUAAAGGGAGCGUAGGCUGGAGAUUAAGUGUGUUGUGAAAUGUAGACGCUCAACGUCUGAAUUGCAGCGCAUACUGGUUUCCUUGAGUACGCACAACGUUGGCGGAAUUCGUCGUGUAGCGGUGAAAUGCUUAGAUAUGACGAAGAACUCCGAUUGCGAAGGCAGCUGACGGGAGCGCAACUGACGCUCAAGCUCGAAGGUGCGGGUAUCAAACAGG